rnacentral:rRNA from 1 species
GACGAACGCUGGCGGCGUGGAUUAGGCAUGCAAGUCGAACGGUAGGGUGCCUUUCGGGGCACUUGAGAGUGGCGAACGGGUGAGUAACGCGUAGGUGAUCUGCCCUCAGGCGGGGGACAACCCGGGGAAACCCGGGCUAAUACCGCAUGUGACUGUAAGGUUAAAGCCGGCCUCUGCAAGCAAGCUGGCGUCUGGGGAUGAGCCUGCGUCCGAUUAGUUAGACGGUGGGGUAACGGCCUACCGUGGCGAUGAUAGGUAGGCGGCUUUAACGAGUGGCCGCCCACACUGGGAUUGAGAAACGGCCCAGACUCCUACGGGAGGCUG